rnacentral:rRNA from 1 species
GACGAACGCUGGCGGCGUGCUUAACACAUGCAAGUCGAACGGAAAGGCCCUGCUUUUGUGGGGUGCUCGAGUGGCGAACGGGUGAGUAACACGUGAGUAACCUGCCCUUGACUUUGGGAUAACUUCAGGAAACUGGGGCUAAUACCGGAUAGGAGCUCCUGCUGCAUGGUGGGGGUUGGAAAGUUUCGGCGGUUGGGGAUGGACUCGCGGCUUAUCAGCUUGUUGGUGGGGUAGUGGCUUACCAAGGCUUUGACGGGUAGCCGGCCUGAGAGGGUGACCGGCCACAUUGGGACUGAGAUACAGCCCAGACUCCUACGGGAGGCAGCAGUGGGGAAUAUUGCACAAUGGGCGGAAGCCUGAUGCAGCAACGCCGCGUGCGGGAUGACGGCCUUCGGGUUGUAAACCGCUUUCGCCUGUGACGAAGCGUGAGUGACGGUAAUGGGUAAAGAAGCACCGGCUAAUUACGUG